rnacentral:rRNA from 1 species
GGCUGAAAAGCGUAGUCGAUGGCAAACGGGUUAAUAUUCCCGUACCCGCGAUAGUUUCGAUGGGGUAACGCAGUAUUGAAAGUUCCCCGCACUUACGGAAUAGUGCGGUUAACCUUGUAGCUAUAGGUUUUGCAGGCAAAUCCGCAAGACUUGGCAAAGAGGGAAAGUACACCAAAGCUUCGGCUGCGGUGAGUGAAGUUAAAAGCUGCCGAGAAAAACCUCUAAGGUUAGGCUACAGCGGCCCGUACCGCAAACCGACACAGGUGUCCGAGUGUCAAUGCACUAAGGCG